UACGUAGGGGGCAAGCGUUGUCCGGAAUCAUUGGGCGUAAAGCGCGCUGUAGGCGGUUCGGUAAGUCUGCUGUGAAAGUCCAGGGCUCAACCCUGGGAUGCCGGUGGAUACUGCUGGGCUAGAGUACGGAAGAGGCGAGUGGAAUUCCCGGUGUAGCGGUGAAAUGCGCAGAUAUUGGGAGGAACACCAGUGGCGAAGGCGGCUCACUGGACCGGUACUGACGCUGAGGCGCGAAAGCGUGGGGAGCAAAC
rnacentral:rRNA from 1 species